rfam:Bombyx mori DNA, contig: Bm_scaf17711_contig62921, strain: p50T/Dazao, build 2, whole genome shotgun sequence.
ACAAUACUAUAUUUGUAUGGAAUUGGAUCGUUUGCCUACGUUUGCCGCUAGGGGCGCUGUUUCAACUGCAUACAAAAUUGGGUUA